rnacentral:tRNA from 1 species
GGGCCGGUCGUCUAGCCAGGUUGGAUUGAAAUGACGAUCCUCCCUAGAAUCUUCUGAGUGUAGCAACCUUGCAUGACUCGCGAAGAUAGUAUGGUAGGAUACCACUUUGGCAUGGUGGGGGUCCUGGGUUCAAAUCCCAGCCGGUCCA